CCAGACUCCUACGGGAGGCAGCAGUGGGGAAUAUUGCACAAUGGGGGGAACCCUGAUGCAGCGACGCCGCGUGAGUGAAGAAGUAUUUCGGUAUGUAAAGCUCUAUCAGCAGGGAAGAUAAUGACGGUACCUGACUAAGAAGCCCCGGCUAACUACGUGCCAGCAGCCGCGGUAAUACGUAGGGGGCAAGCGUUAUCCGGAUUUACUGGGUGUAAAGGGUGCGUAGGUGGCAGGGCAAGUCAGAUGUGAAAGCCCGGGGCCCAACCCCGGUACUGCAUUUGAAACUGUCCGGCUGGAGUGCAGGAGAGGUAAGCGGAAUUCCUAGUGUAGCGGUGAAAUGCGUAGAUAUUAGGAGGAACACCGGCGGCGAAGGCGGCCUGCUGGACCGCGACUGACGUUGAGGCUCGAAAGCGUGGGGAGCGAACAGGAUUAGAUACCCCGGUACAG
rnacentral:rRNA from 1 species